GCUUUCAUAAGACUCCUUUGCACAAGCCCGAACCUGUCUGAUCUCGGAAGCUAAGCAGGGUCAGGCCUGGUUAGUACUUGGAUGGGAGACCACCUACGAAAACCAGGUGCUGUAGGUG
rnacentral:rRNA from 1 species